rnacentral:rRNA from 1 species
CCUACGGGUGGCUGCAGUGGGGAAUAUUGGACAAUGGGGGAAACCCUUAUCCAGCGACGCCGCGUGAGGGAAGAAGGUUUUCGGAUGGUAAACCUCUGUCAGUGGGGACGAGAAGGACGGUAACCACGGAGGAAGGCACGGCUAACGACGUGCCAGCAGCCGCGGUAAUACGUAGGUGGCAAGCGUUGUCCGGAAUUACUGGGUGUACAGGGAGCGGAGGCGGGAUGUCAAGUCAGAAGUGAACAUUAUGGGCUCAACUCAUAACCUGCUUUUGAAACUGCUAUUCUUGAGUGUAGUAGAGGCAAGCGUAAUUCCUCGUGUAGCGGUGAACUGCGUAGAUAUUAGGAGGAACACCAGUGGCGAAGGCGGCUUGCUGGGCUUUUCCUGACGCUGAGGCUCGAACGCGUGGGGAGCAAACCGGAUUAGCUACCCCUGUAGUC